rnacentral:rRNA from 1 species
GCACAGAGUUAGCCGGGGCUUCCUCACUCGGUACCGUCAGACUUCGACGUGUUUGGUCGAAGCUUUUCGUCCCGAGCAACGGGAGUUUACAAUCCGAAGACCUUCAUCCUCCACGCGGCGUUGCGUCGUCAGGCUUGCGCCCAUUGCGAACAAUUCCCCACUGCUGCCUCCCGUAGGAGUCUGGGCCGUGUCUCAGUCCCAGUGUGUCCGUCCGCCCUCUCAGGCCGGAUACUGAUCGUCGCCUUGGUGAGCCAUUACCCCACCAACUAGCUAAUCAGGCGCGGGCCCCUCAUCAAGCGCCAGGUCUUGCGAUCCCCGGCUUUGAUCUCCACCUGUUCAAAGGCAGGAUGUUAUGCGGUAUUAGCGUCCCUUUCGGGACGUUAUCCCCCACUCGAAGGUAGGUCACCCACGUGUUACUCACCCGUUCGCCACUCAACUUGGACCGAAGCCCAAGUCGCGUUCGACUUGCAUGUGUUAGGCACGCCGCCAGCGUUGAUU